AUACACAGGCCUUCAUAGGACAGGAAGUGCGCUCUGAUGACUAUAGAACUGUGGUAAUAUUUUCAAUCAAGAGUGUAUAUGUAUAGGGGGUCCAGAGUGACGACACCUUAUCAAUACACCUUGCCUCAAACAGUUGUCCUGGUUCAUAUUUGAUUUCAGUUCGAGCAAAAAAAUAACAAGUCACUAAAAAAUAAUAAGUAAUAUAAUUAUCUCCGACAGAUACAGAUUACAGUAUUCGCUAAUCAUUGUUCGACUUGUUUGAGUUUUUGAUUUCUAUCUAUUAACUUAGUUAAUUCUGCCUGUAUAGCAAAGUAUAUAAAAAGAAACUAAUCCAAACAUUAUGAUGAUCAUCUUGGAUUUUCAUUCUCUGAUUUAUUGGCUGAUGCUCGCAUCCUUUGCAAGUUUAUGCGAUCGGAAUGUUCUUCACAUAAGUUUGCCCAUGGAGAUGAUCUUCCAGUUAAUAGAUUGAUAACCAAAGUUAGUUAUUGUAACAGAAUGCAAUUGUGCACAUAGCGGUAUGAUAAACGCCCUUAUGGGGUUUGUCUACUUGUAGCUGGUUAUGAUGUGAGUAUUUACUUCAUAAAUAUUAUACAUCAAAUUUAGUUUUGUGACUUAGUAUAAGAAUGAUCAAUACCAACUUUUAUUAUUACCUAUUAGGCGCUAAAUUUAAAGCUUUAAUAUUUCUUACUAUAAUAUUAGUCUUGGUGAACUAAAAUCCAAAUUGCCAGUGCAUAUAAAGUUGUAUAAAGUGGUUAAAAUUGUGUAAUAACAAUGGCCUGUUCUUUCUCCAAGCCACUUUGCGAACCACAAAGUUAAAAGUUUAUUAAUUGAUGUAUGUUGUAAUAAGAUAAUGGUCCUCAUAUUUACCAAACAUGUCUUUCUGCAAACUACACAAAUUGUAAAGCUAUGGCUAUUGGCUCACCAUCACAAAGUGCUCGUACAUACCUAGAAAGAAAUUUAGAAGCAUUUAAGGAGGCAAGUUUGGAGGAAUUAUUGAAAUAUGGUAUGAGAGCUUUGAGAGAGAGUGUCUAACCUAACCUAACCCAAUGAUGUCAAUUUAACUUCAAAGGUAAUUACUUUUAUUUAAAGUUAACAGAACUAUUAUUAAUUUGUAAAUUUAUUUUAUAGAAUGUUUCAAUUGCUGUUGUGGGCAAAAAUCAGCUAUUUGAGAUUUAUGAUGAGGAAACAACUCAAUCAAAAUUUUCAUUAAUUGAAGGUGAGGAAAGAAGAGCCCCUGUUCCAACAACCGAUUCAUCAGGUGGUGGAUCUCAGCCACCACAAGACGGACCUGGUGGUGCCCCUCCUAGCGAUUCUGUACCAGCAGUUGCAAUGGAAACAGAAUAAUCAUAAUGGAACUAAAGUUAAGAAUUAAGAAUAUUAUACAUUUUAUUUUACUAAUAUGCCUCAAUUGAUUAAAUAAAACAUUGGAUAUUGAAUUUUUACUCUAUUUAUUUUAAAAACAAAAUUAUAAAUUAUAAAUUACUUAACAGUAAUAUUAUGCUUUGGUAUACCUUUGUUUAUAAUUAUUUACAGAUUUUAGAUUCUAAGUGGAAUGAUGAAUAUAUUGAAUUUACAAUGAUGUGUGUUUUUUUAUUUUUUUUUUUUGUGUCUGUCAUCACCUUUUAUGACAGUAAAAAUGCUUAGAUUUUCUUCAACACAAUCUUUUCUGAUAGGAAAGUGAAUCUAGUUGGUACUUUGGGGGGUCAAAAGUAAAAAUUUCCCAGUAGUUUUCAAAA